GAUCAGCCACACUGGAACUGACACACGGUCCAGACUCCUACGGGAGGCAGCAGUGAGGAAUUUUGCGCAAUGGGGGAAACCCUGACGCAGCAACGCCGCGUGAGUGAUGAAGGCCUUCGGGUCGUAAAGCUCUGUCAAGUGGGAAGAACCUGCAUUGGGUUAACAUCUCAGUGCACUGACGGUACCACUGAAGGAAGCACCGGCUAACUCCGUGCCAGCAGCCGCGGUAAUACGGAGGGUGCAAGCGUUAUUCGGAAUUAUUGGGCGUAAAGGGCGCGUAGGCGGCCGUUUAAGUCAGGUGUGAAAGCCCGGGGCUUAACCCCGGAAGUGCAUUUGAUACUGAGCGGCUUGAGUAUGGGAGAGGGAAGUGGAAUUCCUGGUGUAGAGGUGAAAUUCGUAGAUAUCAGGAGGAACACCGGUGGCGAAGGCGACUUCCUGGACCAAUACUGACGCUGAGGCGCGAAGGCGUGGGGAUCAAACAGGAUUAGAUACCCUGGUAG
rnacentral:rRNA from 1 species